rnacentral:tRNA from 1 species
GAGGGUACAGCUCAGGGGUAGAGUACAUGCUUAGCAUGCACAGGGGACUGGGUUCAAUCCCCAGUAUCUCCA